rnacentral:misc_RNA from 1 species
GGACCUCUCGAAAGAGAUGUCC